rnacentral:rRNA from 1 species
CAGUAGGGUGCCAUCAAGAGGUGUAUUUGGAAAUAUCCCUAAUACAGGAUCACUUGGAUCCGUCGGCGAUGACGAGCGCGAAAGGAAUGCGGAAAAGUCCUCACGG